UACGGGGGGGGCAAGCGUUGUUCGGAAUUACUGGGCGUAAAGGGCUCGUAGGUGGCCAACUAAGUCGGGUGUGAAAUCUCGGAGCUUAACUCCGAAACUGCAUUCGAUACUGCCGUGCUUGAGGACUGGAGAGGAGACUGGAAUUUACGGUGUAGCGGUGAAAUGCGUAGAUAUCGUAAGGAAGACCAGUGGCGAAGGCGGGUCUCUGGACAGUUCCUGACGCUGAGGCACGAAGGCCAGGGGAGCAAACGGG
rnacentral:rRNA from 1 species